rnacentral:pre_miRNA from 1 species
AUGGAGAAUCUGUAAAGCUCAGGAGGGAUAGCACCAUGGAUACAUCUCCAUCAGCUUGUACACUUGGCUUUUUUUUUUUUGCUAUCUAUAGCGCUAUCCAUCCUGAGUUUUAUGGCUUCUUCGU